rnacentral:rRNA from 1 species
UAGGGAAUCUUCCACAAUGGACGCAAGUCUGAUGGAGCAACGCCGCGUGAGUGAAGAAGGUUUUCGGAUCGUAAAGCUCUGUUGUUGGUGAAGAAGGAUAGAGGCAGUAACUGGUCUUUAUUUGACGGUAAUCAACCAGAAAGUCACGGCUAACUACGUGCCAGCAGCCGCGGUAAUACGUAGGUGGCAAGCGUUGUCCGGAUUUAUUGGGCGUAAAGCGAGCGCAGGCGGAAUGAUAAGUCUGAUGUGAAAGCCCACGGCUCAACCGUGGAACUGCAUCGGAAACUGUCAUUCUUGAGUGCAGAAGAGGAGAGUGGAACUCCAUGUGUAGCGGUGGAAUGCGUAGAUAUAUGGAAGAACACCAGUGGCGAAGGCGGCUCUCUGGUCUGCAACUGACGCUGAGGCUCGAAAGCAUGGGUAGCGAACAGGAUUAGAUACCCUGGUAGUCCAUGCCGUA